rnacentral:tRNA from 1 species
GGUUCUGUGGUCUAGCGGUAUGAUUCCCGCUUAGGGUGCGGGAGGCCCCGGGUUCAAGUCCCGGCAGAGCCC